rnacentral:tRNA from 1 species
GGGGUAGUAGCUCAGUUGGCUAGAGCACCACGUUCGCAACGUGGGGGUCAUGGGUUCGAAUCCCACCUACUCCACCA